AUGGCGACCGGCGCACGGGUGAGUAACACGUAUCCAACCUGCCGAUAACUCGGGGAUAGCCUUUCGAAAGAAAGAUUAGUACCCGAUGGUAUAAUUAGACCGCAUGGUCUUGUUAUUAAAGAAUUUCGGUUAUCGAUGGGGAUGCGUUCCAUUAGGCAGUUGGUGAGGUAACGGCUCACCAAACCUUCGAUGGAUAGGGGUUCUGAGAGGAAGGUCCCCCACAUUGGAACUGAGACACGGUCCAA
rnacentral:rRNA from 1 species